GAUGAACGCUGGCGGCGUGCCUAAUACAUGCAAGUCGAGCGAAGCGGGGACGGGUGAGUAACUCGUGGAUAACAUCCUAUAAGACUGGGAUAAGUUCGGGAAACCGGAGCUAAACCGGAUACUUAUAGAUGGAUCCGCGCUGCAUUAGCUAGUUGGUAAGGUAACGGCUUACCAAGGCAACGAUGGAUAGCCAACCUGAGAGGGUGAUAGGCCAAACUGAAAAUGAUACACGGUCAAGAAUCCAACGUUAGGCAGCAGUAGGGCAUCUGCCGCAAUGGGUGAAAGCCUGACAGAGAAAAGCAGCUUGUGUGAUGAAGGUUUUCGGAUCGGAAAACUCUGUUAUUAGGGAAGCGGUACCUAAUCAGAAAGCCACGGCUGACUACGUGCCAGCAGCCGCGGUAAUGC
rnacentral:rRNA from 1 species